rnacentral:rRNA from 1 species
GAGUUUGAUCGUGGCUCAGAUUGAACGCUGGCGGCAUGCCUUACACAUGCAAGUCGAACGGCAGCAUGAUCUAGCUUGCUAGAUUGAUGGCGAGUGGCGAACGGGUGAGUAAUACAUCGGAACGUGCCCUGUAGUGGGGAUAACUAGUCGAAAGAUUAGCUGAUACCGCAUACGACCUGAGGGUGAAAGUGGGGGACCGCAAGGCCUCAUGCUAUAGGAGCGGCCGAUGUCUGAUUAGCUAGUUGGUGGGGUAAAGGCCCACCAAGGCGACGAUCAGUAGCUGGUCUGAGAGGACGAUCAGCCACACUGGGACUGAGACACGGCCCAGACUCCUACGGGAGGCAGCAGUGGGGAAUUUUGGACAAUGGGCGAAAGCCUGAUCCAGCAAUGCCGCGUGUGUG